UCUCGUUUCGCUCUCCGGUUGGAAUUUAACGGCUCUUUACAGUCGAUUAAUCAGCGGAGGAGAAUUGUACCAAAGUCCACUUACCCAGCCGGAGCCUCAGUCUGUGAGUCACGGUCGUCUGGAUUGUUCUGGAGGUCCGCGGAGAGCUGCUGUUCCUCGGCUGAACCAAUGUGAAUCUGUGUCGCCUGUGUUCUGGAGGUGCAUGAUGGGAAUGUGCGGCGCGCCACUCAUCAGUGGAAACUGCAGGUUCGGCUGCUGCUGCUGGACCAAGGAGGAGUCUCCAUGGUAACCGUUGCCAUUGGUUACAAGCUGCUGCUCCGGCUGCUGCUGCUGAUGCUGCUCCUCGCGGCUCUUCUCCAGCUCCAGCUUCAUGAUGGUGUGCAGGAAGUGGGUCCGCACCCGGACGGGGUUAAACUCCAGGCGUCCCGUGGUGUUGCUGCAGCCUUCUUUGGUGCAGCCACAGGGAAACGACAUGCGGUCCACCUGAGGACGGACAGCAAAGUCCAGCAGUCCAGAGGGGACGGGGUGGUUGAGACUGUCGCUGCUGUUGCCGCUGUCGCUGCAGGAGACCUCAUCAUCGUCAGACCCCUGCAGGGAGAGGUAAGGGGACGGGCCCUCCUCAAGCUUCCUCUUCAAGAUCCCGCUCAUCGUGUGGCUCCUCCCACUGGUCUCACCUGCACAAAGGAGAAAAGUGCGGAGCGUCGUCGUUCGUACAGCUGUUCUCUGUGAUGGUAGCUGCCAGCGUGUGGAGCUCAGGAACCCGUGCCACAGCACACACACACACACACACGUCGGAAAUUUAAAUCCUGUCUUAAGUCUGUGCUGAUGUGGCUCUUAAGGGGACCUGCACUGUGUCGUCUGUAAAUGAGUUUCUACUGUGCUUCCUUACAACUGGUAGUGAACAGCAGAGGGCAGACUUGGCAUGGAAAACAGAAGACAGCGGGCAGGUGGUGGUGGUGGUGGUGGUGGGGUUCUCCCCCCCCAAACCCAGCACAGAUCCGCUACACGAACUCCUGCCUGCGGAGCCCUCCGACACUUGAGCUGUCAGCUGUCAGGAGCAGAUUCGGAGUCCGCUGAUUUUCUCAUAAGAUCAUCUCUGAUGUUUUGGGACCACAGCUGCAGGUGAUGGCAGCCAGCGCCACGGCCUGCAAGAGGCGAGGCUCCACAGUUAAGCACAUUCCACACACAUUUAUAUGCAUGAAUCUAUAUGAAUCUCAGCAACAGUGAUAGGAACAAAUCACUGUUGUCUGGCAUCGGAGUAAAUGAACUUAUAUAAGUUCCACUGAGGCUCAGGAAAAGCCUGUGAAGGCUUGGUGUUAAAGCUAGUUUGGAACUCAGGAAGCAAAAAUAAAAAUAAAAUCUCCUAUCUUCCUUUUUCAGAAGCAUAACUUGGCGAGACAGACUUUAUUUAUUAUUAUAGAUAAAACAUAGCACAUACACAUCUAUAGCCUUCAUAUACCUUGCUGAAAGAUAGAAAAUGAUUUAAAAAAAAAAAAAAGUAUUCUCAUUCUUAUUCCAAGAUUCUGUUCAAGGAUGGCAGCUAUUAUGAGAUGUAAUCUCUUUCCAUAAUGUUAGACGAGCCCAGACAAGGAAAACAUUGGCUUUCAGCGAGGGAAAGGCCAUCUAUUCACAAAACAUAGCCCCUUCCUUCCUGGAGUGCAUCCAGAUAAGGUGUUUGUAUAACACACACAGAGAGUCAGUGCAUCCCCAGCGGAGCUUGCUAAUGAUGAACACGCAGAGCAAAUGCAGCACAGGCACAGAUAAUGGAUGAGAAACACCGAAAUAUGGAACAGCAGGUGUACUAUAAUAAAUUUAAGAGGGGGAAAAAUGUAAUUUAAAAAAACAAAACAAAACAUAAUGAUAUAAAAUAAAUACAAAAAUUCAAAUAAAGGGAUCUGUAAGUUUUGCUGCUCUCACACAGGCAGCAUGAGCAGCCAUGCAUUUUCCUCCCCUUCACCUUAAAGGACUGUGUGCAUGCAGUGUUCUGUUUUCACUAAUGGUCGGCCAGACUCUGACUGCUCCACAUUACU